CAUCGGCGAGUAGCUGCUGCGAUGGGUCUUUCCUGUGCGGGCCCAGCGUUGACGCGGAUGUUGGUGGCGAAGGAAUGCACCUCGUGGCGGACUGGUCGAAGGCAGCAGCAACGUUCGGAACCUCGUCGGGUGGGUGGUCGGGCGCAGGAACUGC
rnacentral:lncRNA from 1 species